AGUGAACGCUGGCGGUAGGCCUAACACAUGCAAGUCGAACGGCAGCACAGUAAGAGCUUGCUCUUACGGGUGGCGAGUGGCGGACGAGUGAGGAAUACAUCGGAAUCUACUUUUUCGUGGGGGAUAACGUAGGGAAACUUACGCUAAUACCGCAUACGACCUACGGGUGAAAGCAGGGGAUCUUCGGACCUUGCGCGAUUGAAUGAGCCGAUGUCGGAUUAGCUAGUUGGCGGGGUAAAGGCCCACCAAGGCGACGAUCCGUAGCUGGUCUGAGAGGAUGAUCAGCCACCCUGGAACUGCGACACGGUCCAGACUCCUACGGGAGGCAGCAGUGGGGAAUAUUGGACAAUGGGCGCAAGCCUGAUCCAGCCAUACCGCGUGGGUGAAGAAGGCCUUCGGGUUGUAAAGCCCUUUUGUUGGGAAAGAAAAGCAGCAGGUUAAUACCCCGCUGUUCUGACGGUACCCAAAGAAUAAGCACCGGCUAACUUCGUG
rnacentral:rRNA from 1 species